rnacentral:rRNA from 1 species
GACGAACGCUGGCGGCGUGCUUAACACAUGCAAGUCGAACGGAAAGGCCCUUCGGGGUACUCGAGUGGCGAACGGGUGAGUAACACGUGGGUGAUCUGCCCUGCACUUUGGGAUAAGCCUGGGAAACUGGGUCUAAUACCGAAUAGGACCACGCGCUUCAUGGUGUGUGGUGGAAAGCUUUUGCGGUGUGGGAUGGGCCCGCGGCCUAUCAGCUUGUUGGUGGGGUAAUGGCCUACCAAGGCGACGACGGCUAGCCGGCCUGAGAGGGUGACCGGCCACACUGGGACUGAGAUACGGCCCAGACUCCUACGGGAGGCAGCAGUGGGGAAUAUUGCACAAUGGGCGCAAGCCUGAUGCAGCGACGCCGCGUGAGGGAUGACGGCCUUCGGGUUGUAAACCUCUUUCAAUAGGGACGAAGCGCAAGUGACGGUACCUAUAGAAGAAGCACCGGCCAACUACGUG